AACACAUGCAAGUCGAGGGGAAACGAUAGAGAAAGCUUGCUUUUUCUAGGCGUCGACCGGCGCACGGGUGAGUAACGCGUAUCCAACCUGCCCACCACUUGGGGAUAACCUUGCGAAAGUAAGACUAAUACCCAAUGAUAUCUCUAGAAGACAUCUGAAGGAGAUUAAAGAUUUAUCGGUGAUGGAUGGGGAUGCGUCUGAUUAGCUUGUUGGCGGGGUAACGGCCCACCAAGGCGACGAUCAGUAGGGGUUCUGAGAGGAAGGUCCCCCACAUUGGAACUGAGACACGGUCCAAACUCCUACGGGAGGCAGCAGUGAGGAAUAUUGGUCAAUGGGCGAGAGCCUGAACCAGCCAAGUAGCGUGCAGGAUGACGGCCCUAUGGGUUGUAAACUGCUUUUAUAAGGGAAUAAAGUGAGUCUCGUGAGGCUUUUUGCAUGUACCUUAUGAAUAAGGACCGGCUAAUUCCGUGCCAGCAGCCGCGGUAAUACGGAAGGUCCUGGCGUUAUCCGGAUUUAUUGGGUUUAAAGGGAGCGUAGGCCGGAGAUUAAGCGUGUUGUGAAAUGUAGACGCUCAACGUCUGCACUGCAGCGCGAACUGGUUUCCUUGAGUACGCACAAAGUGGGCGGAAUUCGUGGUGUAGCGGUGAAAUGCUUAGAUAU
rnacentral:rRNA from 1 species